AGGAGAGUUUGAUCCUGGCUCAGGACGAACGCUGGCGGCGUGCCUAACACAUGCAAGUCGAACGGAACUACUAGGAAGGAUCUCUUCGGAGAAACGGAAUUUUAGUUUAGUGGCGGACGGGUGAGUAACGCGUGAGUAACCUGCCUUUGAGAGGGGAAUAACGUUCUGAAAAGAACGCUAAUACCGCAUAACAUAUACUGAUCGCAUGGUCGGUAUAUCAAAGAUUUUAUCGCUCAAAGAUGGACUCGCGUCCGAUUAGCUUGUUGGCGGGGUAACGGCCCACCAAGGCGACGAUCGGUAGCCGGACUGAGAGGUUGAACGGCCACAUUGGGACUGAGACACGGCCCAGACUCCUACGGGAGGCAGCAGUGGGGGAUAUUGCGCAAUGGGGGCAACCCUGACGCAGCAACGCCGCGUGAAGGAUGAAGGUUUUCGGAUUGUAAACUUCUUUUGUCAGGGACGAAAUCUGACGGUACCUGACGAAUAAGCUCCGGCUAACUACGUGCCAGCAGCCGCGGUAAUACGUAGGGAGCAAGCGUUGUCCGGAUUUACUGGGUGUAAAGGGUGCGUAGGCGGCUAAGCAAGUCAGAUGUGAAAUCUAUGGGCUCAACCCAUAAACUGCAUUUGAAACUGCAUAGCUUGAGUGAAGUAGAAGCAGGCGGAAUUCCCCGUGUAGCGGUGAAAUGCGUAGAGAUGGGGAGGAACACCAGUGGCGAAGGCGGCCUGCUGGGCUUUAACUGACGCUGAGGCACCAAAGCGUGGGUAGCAAACAGGAUUAGAUACCCCGGUAAUCCCCUGG
rnacentral:rRNA from 1 species